rnacentral:rRNA from 1 species
CCUACGGGAGGCAGCAGUGGGGAAUUUUGGACAAUGGGCGCAAGCCUGAUCCAGCAAUGCCGCGUGCAGGAUGAAGGCCUUCGGGUUGUAAACUGCUUUUGUACGGAACGAAACGGUGAGCUCUAAUACAGUUUGCUAAUGACGGUACCGUAAGAAUAAGCACCGGCUAACUACGUGCCAGCAGCCGCGGUAAUACGUAGGGUGCGAGCGUUAAUCGGAAUUACUGGGCGUAAAGCGUGCGCAGGCGGUGAUGUAAGACAGAUGUGAAAUGCCCGGGCUCAACCUGGGACCUGCAUUUGUGACUGCAUCGCUAGAGUACGGUAGAGGGGGAUGGAAUUCCGCGUGUAGCAGUGAAAUGCGUAGAUAUGCGGAGGAACACCGAUGGCGAAGGCAAUCCCCUGGACCUGUACUGACGCUCAUGCACGAAAGCGUGGGGAGCAAACAGGAUUAGAUACCCUGGUAGUCCACGCCCUAAACGAUGUCAACUGGUUGUUGGGUCUUCACUGACUCAGUAACGAAGCUAACGCGUGAAGUUGACCGCCUUGGGGAGUUACGGCCGCAAGGUUGAAACGUUACAGAGUUAGUUACGGCGGNGAGAGACGCGACGACGGACGACGACGGAGGAGGAG